rnacentral:rRNA from 1 species
UACGGAGGAUGCAAGCGUUAUCCGGAUUUAUUGGGUUUAAAGGGUGCGUAGGCGGCCGAGUAAGUCAGCGGUGAAAUUUUGCAGCUUAACUGUAACAGUGCCGUUGAUACUGCAUGGCUAGGAUUUGGUUGCUGUGGGUGGAAUGUGUGGUGUAGCGGUGAAAUGCUUAGAUACCACACAGAAUAUCAAUUGCGAAGGCAGCUCACAAAGCCAAGAUUGACGCUGAGGCACGAAAGUGUGGGGAUCAAA